AAUGUCGUAACAAGGUCUCCGUUGGUGAACCAGCGGAGGGAUCAUUACAGUGACUUCAGCGUCCAACCAUCGCGAAUUAUACCUGUUGCCUCGGCGGCUUGCCCCUGUGGCAACCCGCCGGUGGCCCAUUACUCCGUCUCUUGCGUUGCAUCUCUGAGCAUCAAAAAAUUGAGUCAAAA
rnacentral:misc_RNA from 1 species